CUUCUCAGUACUUAUCUUGCGCUUCAGGGAAAGUCUUAAAGGAGAAGUUGGUGUAUUCUUUCCCUUGAUAGUUCUACGUUCACUGGAUGGCUUAGAAUGUCCAAUUAACCAAAAAAUGAGUGUUCUUCGGAUGCUUGAGAAAGUUUGUAAGGAUCCUCAAAUGCUUGUUGAUGUAUAUGUUAACUAUGACUGUGAUCUGGAGGCGCCAAACUUGUUUGAACGCAUGGUAACCACAUUGUCUAAAAUAGCUCAGGGGACUCAAAGUGCAGAUCCAAAUGCUGUUGCAUCCCAGGCUACUUCAAUUAAAGGUUCAUCACUUCAGUGUCUAGUAAAUGUGCUUAAAUCACUUGUUGAUUGGGAGAAGCUAUGUAGACAAUUUGAAAAAAAGAUUAAAAGAGUUCAGUCCCUUGAAGGAGAGCUUUCAGCCAGAGAAUCUGUUGAGAUAAAGAUAAGAGAAGAUGUGCCCAUUCCCA
rnacentral:misc_RNA from 1 species